AAUCUCCCUUCCAGAUCAAAACUUCAGAGGGCAAAAGUUCAAGAAAGGAUUUAUUUUUAAUGUUGAAAGAGAAGAGAUUGUGAGUAAAAUCGAGAACAGUGAUUAAAAUGCAAAAGCCCAGGAAGCUCAGAAGUGCUGUUUGGUUUGCUGAGUGUUUGUAUUUUCUCAGUCAGAAGCCAGCCAAAUAUACCUGCCUUAUUCCUGAAAGGUUUUUCUAACUGGCUGCUAGCCUACAAUAAAAACCAUUUUCUACAGCCUUAAUGUGUGCUGAGGAGGGGUGGGGGAAUGGUUAAAAGAAGUCCUAUGACCAGGAACAGGCAGACCAGCCUGGAAAAACCCUUCAGCCUCCACUGGAGGGGAACAAACCUUGGCCAUGCACCAGCACUUCUUCCACCAACCCUCGGGGGGAAACAGUGACUUACGGAGGGAACCAUCUGACAUGGGCUCUGAUCCUCCUGGUUCUACAAUCUGUUUCAUGGGAAAGAAAGCUUACUUGCUUGUGUAACUGAAAGAAAAGUGCAUCUAAUGUCCUUCAGGUAGGAACUAUAUUUCAAGAAGGGUGGUCAUGCCUGUGCUGCUCCCAGAAGACUCAGAUCCACUGAAAGAAAUGCAAUCCUUCCCCACAGGCAACCUUUCCUGAGGAGAAGAAGGAGCUUCUCUAACUGUCACAUGAAUAGAAAAUGUUGAAGAGACCUGCCUUUUUCAGAGGAAGGGAAAGUUUCACGUCCACCAUACUGUCAGCUCUACAAGGGCAAGCCUGCCUGAUUCACCAGCUGUAUUCACAGAACUAUGCUGGAAAAGGAAUUGUGGGAUAACUAAGUUUGGACAAAUAAAUGAAUGUGUAA